rnacentral:rRNA from 1 species
AUUGAACGCUGGCGGCAUGCCUUACACAUGCAAGUCGAACGGCAGCACGGGAGCAAUCCUGGUGGCGAGUGGCGAACGGGUGAGUAAAGUAUCGGAACGUGCCCAGUCGUGGGGGAUAACGUAGCGAAAGUUACGCUAAUACCGCAUACGAUCUAUGGAUGAAAGCGGGGGAUCGCAAGACCUCGCGAUUGGAGCGGCCGAUAUCAGAUUAGGUAGUUGGUGGGGUAAAGGCUCACCAAGCCGACGAUCUGUAGCUGGUCUGAGAGGACGACCAACCACACUGGGACUGAGACACGGCCCAGACUCCUACGGGAGGCAGCAGUGGGGAAUUUUGGACAAUGGGCGAAAGCCUGAUCCAGCCAUGCCGCGUGCAGGAUGAAGGCCUUCGGGUUGUAAACUGCUUUUGUACGGAACGAAAAGGUUUGGCCUAAUAAGCUGAGCUCAUGACGGUACCGUAAGAAUAAGCACCGGCUAACUACGUGCCAGCAGCCGCAGUAA